rnacentral:rRNA from 1 species
UACAGAGGGUGCGAGCGUUAAUCGGAAUUACUGGGCGUAAAGGGCGCGUAGGCGGUUUAUCAAGUGAGAUGUGAAAUCCCCGGGCUUAACCUGGGAACUGCAUCUUAAACUGGUAAGCUGGAGUACUGUAGAGGACAGUGGAAUUUCCGGUGUAGCGGUGAAAUGCGUAGAGAUCGGAAGGAACAUCAGUGGCGAAGGCGACUGUCUGGACAGAUACUGACGCUGAGGCGCGAAAGCGUGGGGAGCGAACAGG